rnacentral:rRNA from 1 species
AGAGUUUGAUCCUGGCUCAGAUUGAACGCUGGCGGCAGGCCUAACACAUGCAAGUCGAGCGGUAGAGAGAAGCUUGCUUCUCUUGAGAGCGGCGGACGGGUGAGUAAUGCCUAGGAAUCUGCCUGGUAGUGGGGGAUAACGUUCGGAAACGGACGCUAAUACCGCAUACGUCCUACGGGAGAAAGCAGGGGACCUUCGGGCCUUGCGCUAUCAGAUGAGCCUAGGUCGGAUUAGCUAGUUGGUGAGGUAAUGGCUCACCAAGGCGACGAUCCGUAACUGGUCUGAGAGGAUGAUCAGUCACACUGGAACUGAGACACGGUCCAGACUCCUACGGGAGGCAGCAGUGGGGAAUAUUGGACAAUGGGCGAAAGCCUGAUCCAGCCAUGCCGCGUGUGUGAAGAAGGUCUUCGGAUUGUAAAGCACUUUAAGUUGGGAGGAAGGGUUGUAGAUUAAUACUCUGCAAUUUUGACGUUACCGACAGAAUAAGCACCGGCUAACUCUGUGCCAGCAGCCGCGGUAAUACAGAGGGUGCAAGCGUUAAUCGGAAUUACUGGGCGUAAAGCGCGCGUAGGUGGUUUGUUAAGUUGGAUGUGAAAUCCCCGGGCUCAACCUGGGAACUGCAUUCAAAACUGACUGACUAGAGUAUGGUAGAGGGUGGUGGAAUUUCCUGUGUAGCGGUGAAAUGCGUAGAUAUAGGAAGGAACACCAGUGGCGAAGGCGACCACCUGGACUAAUACUGACACUGAGGUGCGAAAGCGUGGGGAGC